UCCUAGGGGCGGGACACCUCUUAAUACCGGGAUUAUUACCUCCUAAUAAAUAUUAGAUCGCUAAUCCUCAUCAAAAACUGUAGCGUUUUUUCUUUGGUAUGUCAUGACUUAUCUUCAAUCCCACUUUUGUCAAUGAAAUGGAAACACGAACGCUACGAUUUUGUGCGAUGCAACGCAGAGAUGCUUCGAAGUUAACGAUGUGUCCACCACCGAUGUGUGAUAAAGUUAUAUGAAGUUCUUCUGGGAAAACAUCGGUGUUCGUCUCCUGGAGCACACAGCAGAUGGAGAAUUCAAAACCGUAUACUUGCUAAACUUACGAUCAACCCUAGUGGACGCCAUCGAACACAAAUAUAAAUUCGUUUUCGUACAGCUUAUAGAAACUGCUGCAAACUCA